GAAGGAAAUUAAGUACGGAAGUUCCUGAUUUCACGCUGUCAAGAAAAGCCUCUAGGAAGAGUAGUACUGCCCGUACCGCAAACCGACACAGGUAGAUGAGGAGAGAAUCCUAAGGUGAGCGAGAGAACUCUCGUUAAGGAACUCGGCAAAAUGACCCCGUAACUUCGGGAGAAGGGGUGCUCUAUUAGGGUGCAAGCCCGAGAGAGCCGCAGUGAAUAGGCCCAGGCGACUGUUUAGCAAAAACACAGGUCUCUGCAAAACCGUAAGGUGACGUAUAGGGGCUGACGCCUGCCCGGUGCUGGAAGGUUAAGAGGAGUGCUUAGCUUCGGCGAAGGUACGAAUUGAAGCCCCAGUAAACGGCGGCCGUAACUAUAACGGUCCUAAGGUAGCGAAAUUCCUUGUCGGGUAAGUUCCGACCCGCACGAAAGGCGCAACGAUCUGGGCACUGUCUCAACGAGAGACUCGGUGAAAUUAUAGUACCUGUGAAGAUGCAGGUUACCCGCGACAGGACGGAAAGACCCCGUGGAGCUUUACUGCAACCUGAUAUGGAAUGUUUGUACCGCUUGUACAGGAUAGGUAGGAGCCGAAGAGACGUGUGCGCUAGCAUACGAGGAGGCAAUGGUGGGAUACUACCCU
rnacentral:rRNA from 1 species